UACGUAGGUGGCAAGCGUUGUCCGGAAUCACUGGGCGUAAAGCGCGCGCAGGCGGCGAUCUACGUCUGGGGUGAAAGCCCGGAGCUCAACUCCGGGACUGCCUUGGAUACGGGAUCGCUUGAGGAUUGGAGAGGCAAGGGGAAUUCCACGUGUAGCGGUGAAAUGCGUAGAGAUGUGGAGGAACACCUGUGGCGAAGGCGCCUUGCUGGCCAAUUACUGACGCUGAGGAGCGAAAGCGUGGGGAGCGAACAGG
rnacentral:rRNA from 1 species